rnacentral:ncRNA from 1 species
UGGCCAGAGCAGGACUUUUGCUGUUUGACCUGCGAAUCACCGACCGAAGGAGAAUAGGCCGUCAGGAAGGUGACUGGCUU